AGAGUUUGAUCCUGGCUCAGGAUGAACGCUGGCGGUAUGCCUAACACAUGCAAGUCGAACGGUGUCUUCGGACACAGUGGCGGACAGGUGAGUAACGCGUGAGAAUCUGCCUCUAGGUUGGGGACAACAGUUGGAAACGACUGCUAAUACCCGAUGUGCCGUAGGGUAAAAGAUUUAUUGCCUGGAGAGGAGCUCGCGUCUGAUUAGCUAGUUGGUGGGGUAAAAGCCUACCAAGGCAGCGAUCAGUAGCUGGUCUGAGAGGAUGAGCAGCCACACUGGGACUGAGACACGGCCCAGACUCCUACGGGAGGCAGCAGUGGGGAAUUUUCCGCAAUGGGCGAAAGCCUGACGGAGCAAUACCGCGUGAGGGAGGAAGGCCUUUGGGUUGUAAACCUCUUUUCUCAGGGAAGAAGAACUGACGGUACCUGAGGAAUAAGCAUCGGCUAACUCCGUGCCAGCAGCCGCGGUAAUACGGAGGAUGCAAGCGUUAUCCGGAAUCAUUGGGCGUAAAGCGUCCGCAGGUGGUUUUUCAAGUCUGCUGUUAAAGACUGGAGCUCAACUCCGGAAAGGCAGUGGAAACUGAGAAACUAGAGUUCGGUAGGGGUAGCGGGAAUUCCCAGUGUAGCGGUGAAAUGCGUAGAUAUUGGGAAGAACAUCGGUGGCGAUGGCGCGCUACUGGACCGAAACUGACACUCAGGGACGAAAGCUAGGGGAGCGAAAGGGAUUAGAUACCCCUGUAGUCCUAGCUGUAAACGAUGGAAACUAGGUGUGGCUUGUAUCGACCCGAGCCGUGCCGUAGCUAACGCGUUAAGUUUCCCGCCUGGGGAGUACGCACGCAAGUGUGAAACUCAAAGGAAUUGACGGGGGCCCGCACAAGCGGUGGAGUAUGUGGUUUAAUUCGAUGCAACGCGAAGAACCUUACCAGGGCUUGACAUGUCGCGAAUCUCCUUGAAAGGGGAGAGUGCCUUCGGGAGCGCGAACAUAGGUGGUGCAUGGCUGUCGUCAGCUCGUGUCGUGAGAUGUUGGGUUAAGUCCCGCAACGAGCGCAACCCUCGUCUUUAGUUGCCAGCAUUAAGGUGGGCACUUUAGAGAGACUGCCGGUGACAAACCGGAGGAAGGUGGGGAUGACGUCAAGUCAGCAUGCCCCUUACGCCCUGGGCUACACACGUACUACAAUGGUUGGGACAAAGGGCAGCGACCCCGCGAGGGAAAGCGAAUCUCAUCAAACCCAGCCUCAGUUCAGAUUGCAGGCUGCAACUCGCCUGCAUGAAGGAGGAAUCGCUAGUAAUCGCAGGUCAGCAUACUGCGGUGAAUUCGUUCCCGGGCCUUGUACACACCGCCCGUCACACCAUGGAAGCUGGUCACGCCCGAAGUAGUUACCCUAACCUUUCGGGGGGGGGGACUCCUAAGGCAGGGCUAGUGACUGGGGUGAAGUCGGAACAAGGUA
rnacentral:rRNA from 1 species